UUAGAAGUUCCUGAAACUUUGGUUUUUGUUGAUGGGGGGGAGUUGCCUUAGUUCGCCUCCCUUUGCCUUUGACUACUGUCAAGGCUUUUAUGUUCUUUCUGUGGAUUUUGGGUCACUGUCAGGGAGACUGUGAGAGGGUGUGAAAGAAAUUUAAAUGUGGCUCUCCAAGGCUGGGAGAGAAUAUUGAUUGGCUGGUUUUCUUUUGGGGAAAUACAGAAUUUGUGCCUGUUAAGUGUUGGAGUUCAAACCAGCCUUUGAUGCCUCUGGAAAAUAUAUCCAGUCCAGUGUUUCUGGCCUCGCUGUCAGACCGAGGGUGAUCCUGAGGUCAGCGCAGAUCACUGGAUAAAGGUUAACAAAUUACCGCGAUGCCGCUCACACACCUGAUUGAUGUCGAGUGGGGGAGGGGAUAUGCGUAGAGGUUAGGUCAAGAUAAGUUCUCCUACCACCUGUGCUCCAGCUUUGGCCCAAAGAAGACCUGCUUUUCAUUUGCCUCAGAGGAGUGGCCAGUGAAAGCAGCCGGUGCCUCUCCUGAACAAAGACACUGUCUGUAAGCAUCAGGCAGCAUGUUUUAAGAACGGGUGACAUGAAGCAACGAAGCGAGGGAGGAACCAGGACUACUGAUUUACUGACAGAACAAUUAGAAGGAGCUAAUCUGCUAUCAGAGCUAAAUAUUCCAGAUAGGGUGGGCAUGCAAGGAGGAAGACUCUCAGAGGUAGGGGGCACUCCCCCAGUAGGGCGCCAUGGGGGUGUUUGUGUUGAUUGAUUUAUCUGGGUGAAGGUGAGAGACUCAGCUGUAUCAGACUUCUUACUAUUGCUGCUGAGCUACCGUAGACCUCAUUAUGAUCUAAGUAAAAAGAAGAAGUCAUUCUUCUAAAAAUAGCAGCAAUAGCAACAAUCCUGAAUCCCGAGGAUCAGUCCAUCCAGUCCAUCCAGAAAUAUAAAUGCCAGGCAUCAAAAUAGUUUCCAGGAUAGACAUUAAGCAUUUCCAAAGGAGACUAAAAGCCCAAGUUAAUCAUACAUGCUGCUCAUCUUCUCUCAGUCCCCACUGCAAAUAAAUAGAUUAGCUACAUCUGUUAAUGCAAUUUUUGACCUGUGGUGACUUCACUCACAGAAAAUUACAGUCUCCAUUUUCUCUUUGAUUUUCAAACACUAUUAUCUUUGCUCUCAAGUAGAGGGAGGGUAAACAGUAGCAGCGGAGAGUCAUAUAUCUCUUUAAAUAAACUGCAUUGUCUGAUGAUGUUUUAAUGGGCAAACCUCGAUCCCCUGAGCAGUGACCCUUCUCAGUGUGCUUCAGCUAUGUACUCUGCACAGGGUGCUGAGAUGUAAUUGCUAUGUACAUACCAGGCUAUUCUCUGGUUACAGCGCUGCAAAAAAUAUCCAACUUAAUGAAUCUUGGCGUUUCACUAUAUAGAGGAUGUUUCCUUCAAUACAUGGUCAAAAAAAAUUACAAAUAUGGUCGCAAAGUUCUCGUUUCAGCAAAUUCCAUGCCACUUGUGGCAAAUUCUUUUUUUUUUUAAAUCUUGUAGUAGCUAACCUAGAUGCCUCCUAAAAAAUUUUUGGAAUCAACCUGAAGAAACUUAGAUUGGAUAAAACGGAUAACCUGACUCCAUUCACAGAUUUGGUCAAUUUUCAAAAUCAGCUUGUGCUAAGAUAUGACUAACUAGAGUAUGCUAAUUGUGUGUUUCUUUUGCCAGGUUUGUUUUCAACAGAAUCCAAUACAACAAAGUGCUCUUUGGAGCAUGAAUAUUUGAUCCAAACUGGCACUUAAAAUAUUUUGUGAGUCAACGUAAAAAUUAUUAGCAAUAUCAUGAGUUCCUAUGACCACUGGGCCCAUUGUUAGCCAAUGCUCAGCGGUCCCAUUGGUGUUUUGAGCACUCCCUUAUGACUGUGUGACUCAACAGAUUAGGGAUAACCGCUCACUCAGUCUCAUCAUUUGUCAUCAACACAACUGGACCAAUGAAAGUGACGCACUGUGGCAAUCCUUCCAUUGCAGAAUGCACUGAACAUGAGUUGCCAAUGACUCAACAGAUUUUAAUAUAACCCAAAAGAAAAGCAAUAUCUGGUGGAAAUCAUUGCUGACAUAAGCACGCUGGGGCAGCUUAGUGUGGAAUAACUGCACAAUGAGAUUUCCCAAAUAUGGAGUGUUAUAAAGGGGCAGAUGUCUGGUACAUAACCAGUGCUUCACAGGCUUGUUGAUGGGAAAAUAAGUAUUGUUUCAGUACUUACCAGAUAUACAGAACUAAGACAUGCUCCAGCCAGUUAGUACGCUGUUGUACAACCACUGCUGUGGAAAACGCCCAUCUACAAGCAAAAAGAUUUAGCUUUUAGCACUGUUUCCACAAACUUUUUAAAUAUGGUUUAAUUGUUUUUAGACAACAAAAUUGUGCACGAUAGCUACAUAGUGGAUAUUCUAUCACAAAAGAGUUGGUGUAACACCAACCACAAAACUGCAAUGCCCAAGUUUCCCAUACAAGGGACCUUUGUUGUGUGCCCUUGUGUAUUGUCCCCGGACUGUCAACUGUCAAAAAAGAAACAAAGCAAAUAUAUAUAUAUAUAUAUAUAUAUAUAUAUAUAUGUUUUUAAAAGUUAGAAGGAUUAAAUGUUUGAUUUUAAAGUACA